AUUGAACGCUGGCGGCAGGCUUAACACAUGCAAGUCGAGCGAGCGGCGGACGGGUGAGUAAUGUCUGGGAAACUGCCUGAUGGAGGGGGAUAACUACUGGAAACGGUAGCUAAUACCGCAUACCAUCGGAUGUGCCCAGAUGGGAUUAGCUAGUAGGUGGGGUAAAGGCUCACCUAGGCGACGAUCCCUAGCGGGUCUGAGAGGAUGACCAGCCACACUGGAACUGAGACACGGUCCAGACUCCUACGGGAGGCAGCAGUGGGGAAUAUUGCACAAUGGGCGCAAGCCUGAUGCAGCCAUGCCGCGUGUAUGAAGAAGGCCUUCGGGUUGUAAAGCACUUUCAGCGGGGAGGCGGUACCCGCAGAAGAAGCACCGGCUAACUCCGUGCCAGCAGCCGCGGUAAUUC
rnacentral:rRNA from 1 species